GGUCGCUUAGCUCAGUUGGUUAGAGCGUGGUGCUAAUAGGAUCCUUUGAUAUCCCGUGAUACGCCAAGGUCGCGAGUUCAACCCUCGUAGUGACCA
rfam:Cochliobolus heterostrophus C5 unplaced genomic scaffold COCHEscaffold_8, whole genome shotgun sequence.